AUAUCCAUAAGCGGAGGAAAAGAAACCAACAGGGAUUGCUCAGUAACGGCGAGUGAAGCGGCAACAGCUCAGAUUUGAAAUCCGGCUUCGGCCCGAGUUGUAAUCUGUAGAGGAUGCUUCUGGUGAGGCGCCCGCCGAGUCCCCUGGAACGGGGCGCCAUGGAGGGUGAGAGCCCCGUAUGGCGGGACGCCGAACCUGUGCGAAGCUCCUUCGACGAGUCGAGUAGUUUGGGAAUGCUGCUCAAAAUGGGAGGUAAAUUUCUCCUAAAGCUAAAUACCGGCCAGAGACCGAUAGCGCACAAGUA
rnacentral:rRNA from 1 species